rnacentral:rRNA from 1 species
GACAGAGGUGCCGAGCGUUAGGCGGAAUCACUGGGCUUAAAGCGUGUGUAGGCGGGUCCGUAAGUACCUUGUGAAAUCCCACGGCUCAACCGUGGAACUGCUGGGCAUACUGCGGGUCUUGGGCCAACUAGGGGCAGCCGGAACAAGCGGUGGAGCGGUGAAAUGCGUAGAUAUCGCUUGGAACGCCGAAGGUGAAAACAGGCUGCUGGGGUUGCGCCGACGCUGAGACACGAAAGCCAGGGGAGCAAACGGG